rnacentral:rRNA from 1 species
UACGUAGGGGGCGAGCGUUGUUCGGAUUUAUUGGGCGUAAAGAGCUCGUAGGCGGCUCGGUAAGUCGGGUGUGAAAACUCUAGGCUCAACCUAGAGACGCCACCUGAUACUGCUGUGGCUAGAGUCCGGUAGGGGAGCAUGGAAUUCCUGGUGUAGCGGUGAAAUGCGCAGAUAUCAGGAGGAACACCAGUGGCGAAGGCGGUGCUCUGGGCCGGUACUGACGCUGAGGAGCGAAAGCGUGGGGAGCAAACAGG